rnacentral:piRNA from 1 species
AAACCCAGUGACACCUGUAGAGC